GAAUAAAAAACAAAAAUAAACAAACAAGCUCUCCCCCCAUUUGACUUAAGCAGUCUUCAUUUCCACCAUAGUAAAUUUUCUAGAUACGUCUUGUAGACCUCAAAGUACUGGAAAGGAAGCUCCCAGAGCCCAGGAUGUGGAAAUAGCUUUGGGGCCGCCAUUCAGCUCCUUCAUCCACCAUCCUGCGGGCAGGCAAACUGCUUCUCAGUUUCCCGUGUGCUGUGGUAGAGUGGCCCUGUUAGAUGCCAAGGGCUGAGUGGAUUCCAUCCCAUAAGGUGAUCACAUCUGGAAGAGCAGCUGCAUUUGGAGCUGCCCUGAUGGUGUCCUGAGCCCUGUGAAGGGGGACCCUCUCUGUCCACAUUUCAGCUUUUCCCAGGGAGGUUGGGUUUCUCGGGAUGGGGGAGCCUCUGCACCCAGAGCCAGGCAGAAGGAGGAAGACUCCUGCUAGAGCUGACCAUCAGUCUCCAUCACCACCGGCUCCAAUUCCUCUUGCUCUCUGCCCUCUGGACUUUCUCCAGGCAAACUCCCCUGUGAGAGCGCCCCCCACCCCACCCGGUGCCAUGGAUGGAACCCAGCCUUGCUCGUGCUAGACAGGCACUUACCAUGAGCCCCACUCCACACCCACACUGCGGCUUUCGCUCCUCCUCCCCUUGCCUUUAUUGAGAGGUAGCCCCUAAGCUGUUUUCUGGCGAUAAUACCUUUCUGCCGUCUGUGGACCUCCUGGCCACUUGGCGUCACGGGCUUCCCACUUUCUGUGCCCUGGAUCCGUCCUACAGGUGGCCAUGAGGUUUGGAAUCCCUCUGUCUUCCGAGUGGACUGGUGGCCUUGGCCAUGGCAGCCUCGUCUGUUGAGCCGCGUGCUGUAGGAAGAGCUUCCUGUUUCUUUUUGCCCCACGAUGUGAAAAUAUUUGGAGCCACUGACUUGAAGACCUGCAGCACUGACUGCCCUCCCUGAGGCAGACACCCACCCGCUCCGUUAUCCACGCCUCUCCUGCCCACGGCUUCCCCUUCAUCCCAGAACUCCCACUAGGCCCUUCCUUCCCUAGGAGAAACCCAGUUCUCCAGCCUUUCUCCCUUCGUCCUUGUUUAGAUGUGACUGCACAUCCAAUUUCAGUCGCACUGUGGCCACCUCAGGUACCCAACACUCCUGUGCCCCCUGUGUUGAUACUGCCCCAGUCCUGGAGAAGAAAAGGCCGUGCUGUGCUGACCUCAGCUGUUCAGCACGGCUGCAGAAAUGCCCUAGGCGGAGCCAAGUCGUUCCACCACACAAAACCAAACGCUGUUCUCCAACUCCUGGGCUCCAGUGAUUCCCCACCUCCUCCCCCUAAGUGCUGGGUCUAUAGGCUUGGGACAUCAAGACUGCCUUUGAUUACCAAGUUCAAAUAGGCCCUCAUCACCACCCACAGCCGCAUCGCAGUCCUCUUGAAGAUCUAUCUACUCCUCCGCUUCCUGUAUGGCAAGAACAGGUGGAGGCUGCAGUUAUUUGUUUGUUUGCUUCGUGCUGGGGAUGGAACCCAGGGCCUUGCUCACUCCAAGCAAGUGCCUCACCAGUGAGCCACGCCGCAGGCCAGCUGGAGCAUCCUUGGCCCAAAUCAGAAAUCCCCUCCAAAUACAAAAACUUUUCGAGUACUGAAAUGACACCAUGGGUAGAAAAUUUCAUACCAUGAAAUUUUGUUUCAUGCACAAAGUUAUUGAAAGUGUUGUAGGAGGGCUGGGGCUGGG
rnacentral:lncRNA from 1 species